UGUAGAUGAUGUGAGAGAAUAUUUGCUAUAUGAAAGAUGGUGAAGACAUUUCAAAAUGAAGUGCA